ACGCAGCACCUUCAGCGGCAGUGACGUCACCAGCGAGGCGCGGCUCGGCUCACCUGAUGCGCGUGCACCUUCAAACAGUUACGUCAGAUCACAUACUCCAGCAGCUCUUUUAAGAAGUCAUCUCUUGUAAAAGCCAUAACUUGUUCCUAUUUUUCCGAACUGUAAUCCAUAAUUCAUUUACACAUAGUUUUUGCUCUCUCUCUCUCUCUCUCUCUUUCUGUGCUUCGUGACAUUUUUAAAUCUCAUAAUCUCAUAUUUUUUUACCUAUUCUUUCAGGAAGCUGCUAGAAUUAACAGGGAACUCAAUGCUGAUCUUGAAGAAGCUGCCAAGGAGGCUGAACAAGUGCUUCAGUGAUUCAGCUCUUCACACUGAGAGGGAAGACCAAAGGAAGGCCUGUCCUGGGAUUUGAUUUUGGCCGUAUUCUGCGUUUACGGAGAAGACCCAGAGCUGCAAAGGCAAAUGCUGAAGACCAAAAAUGCAAAGAAAAUCAGGCACAGCAAGUCAACAGGCAAACCAGUCCUGAUGAAUGAGGAAUGAACAUGGUCUUCUUCUGCCCAAACAGAAAAGAGAAAGCUGGAAAGUUGCACAUUUCCAUUGAUCCUAGAAUGAGCAAAUCGGCUGUGCAUCUCUGGGAUUUAGGCAGGAAAUGACUGAAUAUGGAGGAUGAAUCCAGUUGAUGAAGAUAUCACUUCAAUGGCCACCAAGUGAAGCACUGCUGCCUGAACCCAUCAGAUAUCUGCUGUGAAGACUGCUUUCACGAACAACUCUACUGUGACAGCGCAGAAGUUACAGCCCAUAAAAGAAACAAGAUAGUGGUGGAGGGAUUCUUUUAGCCCAUACCUCCAACAAGAAUCAAUGGACAUCAAGACCAGGUGGUGUGUGAGGAAAGAAUGGAGGACUGUCAGAGACUCCAGCCACCCGAGCCAUGGAUUGCUCUCACCGUUACCAUCAGGCAGAUGUUAUUGCAGAACCUUCACCAGCAAGACAAGUUCUUUCCACAGACAAUCAGACUGAACUGAACUCGUACCAGUAACACCACACACAGCACAGAGCACACCAACCUCUUAUGUACUGCACUCUAUCACUUACACUGACUGGACUCUGACUCACUAUUAUUCUGCAUCCUGACAAUCUGUUUGCACUAAUUCAUACCGUACUGCACUGCAAAGGUAUUUGUGUACUGUGAUUAUUGUUUUCUUUUCAUGCUGUCUGUAUAGUAUCAUAUUUACCAUAUGGUGUUCUCUAUCUGUAUUGAGUCCCUUAUAUGUGUGUGUUGCAUAUAUAUUCAAUAUUUGUCAUCCAUAAUGUCAUGCUGCAGUUUGCACAAAAGACUUUCACCACCUGUACACUUACGUUCAUGGUAUUGUGACAAUAAAGUGAUUUGAUUUUAA